UGGUGGGGGACAUUGAUCACCUGACAAGGCUGAUCAGAGGGUCACAUGGCAAAGGAACUGAAGGUUAUAAAAGAAAGGCUCUUAUUGGCCACGGGGGGCUAAAAGAGGAAAGGGGAGUAUGCCUGCAUAAAGGAGGGUACUCGCUGCAGUGAGCAGACAGAAGUUCCAUGAUUUGGAGGAGAAGUUAUAAGAAAGGAAGGAUCCACAAUACCCCCGGAGCACUCUGACCGAAGCCCAAAGAAUGCUCCAGAGUGGUGAGGAAACGGAGGAUACAUCUGGGAUAAGAGGAAGUCUCCAUGCAGCAGGCCAGCCAUUCCCCGAGAGAAAAGAAGGGGCCAAUCCUAUUACCCGGACCAUCAGCUGCACGCACUUUGCCUGACUGCACAUGGACACUGUAUGAGUUGAAUGGAAAGAACACCGCUGACUUCAAUGGAGUGUUGCGGAUUUACACUAGAUAAGGAUCUGGCCCAGAAUUUUUAACAUCACAGCACACAAGCCGUUUCCCCAAGAGAUUCCACAGCGUUCCGUUUCAUAGCAUGGGCUUGGAAAAAUAAGGACUUACGCAGCAGCCCGUUCCACCAGAGUCUUGAUAAACUGCAACAGGUGAGCAGACAGGACAGAGCAGGAAUUUCGCAUAUAGAGUCUCAUGUCAGUCACAACCUGUAAGAGAUCCCCAGUCAGUCAAGAUGGAGCAUGAUGUACAUUGUGACCAAACAAUACUCACCGGGUCAUUUGACUUUUGCCAGUUUGGGGAACCGGAUAAGAAAGUCAACCCUCCACCCAGGGCCGCCCAGAGGAUUCAGGGGGCCUGAGGUCUUCGGCAGCAGGGGGCCCCCGCUACCGAAUUGCUGCGGAAGAUGCUCCGGGUGGCCCAGGCCCUGCAAUAGUUUUCCAGGGCCCCCGGAACAAGUGAAGGACCCCACUCCAGGGGCCCCGAAAAACUCUCGUGGGGGCCCCUGCGGGGCCUGGGGCAAAUUGCCCCACUUGCCCCCCCUCCAGGCAGCCCUGCCCUGCCCCGCCCCCCCUUUCAAUAGUGAAAAAAACUUCCCAGUGCCUUACGGAUGCCAUUCAAACAGUUCAGGGCUUUCAAUCUAAUUCAUUAUUCAGUGGGAAUUUCCCUAUAUUUGAAUUUGCUCUCCAGGGGCCUGAUCCGAAGCCAGUGGGAGUUUUUCCCAUUAACCUCAAUGGGCUUUGGCUCCGGCCCCAUCAGUGGUUCCCUUAAUAGAAGGUCUGCUCCCUAAAGGUGCUAUGAACCUGUAACUCCCGCUGAUGUUAGGAGCAGGUCCCAGCCACUGGAGAAGACAAACACAGAGGGGGAAAUAAUCACAUAAGCUAAUACUAGCACAAAGGGACUCAAAAUAUAACAUCAAGCAGCCCAAAGCUUAGAGGGCUGGUCCAUCUACCUGUCAGAGGCCAAAAGCUCACCGAUAACCCUAAGCUUUUUUCCUGGGAACCCUGUACUCUGUGUUCAAACACACAGGACCAGAUCCAGUGCUGAAGUGAAGCCAUUGGCAAGACUGCAUUACUUUCAAUGGGUGCUGGAUCAGGCCCACAGAGAGAGAAGUGAAAAACAACAUUAUCUAGGGAAACAAAAAGAACUAGAAGGUGGGGGAUGGAGAAUGAGUCUAGGAAAAGUUAUGGACUCGACAUUUUAGUAAAUCAGGUGUAAACACAAUAUUUGUCCCUAAGGUCAAGAAUACGGCUUGCCAAAUGAAAUUACUGCUACAGUCAGCAGCCUGGACUAACAUCUGAAGCUCUGAAUUGAAAAGGACGAGGAGUCAGUAUGGCUGAGUAAUGGUGAUAAAAUGGAAUAUACUGGGACUAUAAAAUUAACAGUGACCAAAAGAGUUAGAAAAACUGCUGGAGGUCAAAGCAGAAGUGUGAAAAUUAACUGCAGGUGUUUGCCUAACCAUAGCACCAGCUUUGGUAACUGCAAAGCUCUUCACAUUUAAUUGCCGGAGUACACACGUGUGAGCUAUAAAGAAGGAUCCCCGUGACUAUGGGCUAGACUCUAAAGUCCCUCAGAAAUGGAAACAGAACCUACAGUGCGGUUACACAAACAUAACCCCCUCGCUGGGAAAAUGCAAGUUCCUCUCAGGGCUGCUAGAUCCCGGAGUCUUCAGCAGAGAGCUAUUUGUCUUCCAAAGCAGUGCAUAUGUGCGCCACUCCCUCUGUUUAGUAGCACUUCUAACCUGCUCAAGUGUGCGUGAGAUGAUCACCCUUUAGUGGCUGCAGAAGAUAGAUCAGACUAUGACUAAUACCGCAGCUAUCUCGGGUUCACCUUCAGCUCAAGUGGUUGGGACUGAGUCCCGAGUUCUGUCCUUGCUUUGGACGAUUAAGUUCACGCAGGAAUGAUGUUCAGUCCAGGUGGAAACCACGAAGCCCGCCAUAGAACGGCUGCAACUUGUUUGAAAGAGUCUUGAAGCACCUCGGGUUCUCUCUUUUGCACAGAGCUCCUAUUGAGUUCCAAAGGAACACUGUGCAAGAGUCUGGCUGCAUCGUCUUGGCCAAAAGAAAUGGAGUUCAAUUUGUGUUCGUACCCAAUACCAUUACUCAGCAACUGUGCUCAUUCUGUCCACCCAGCACUCAGGGGCCACUAGAUGAGCUGCACACCUGCAGUGACUAAGUCCCAAGGGAGCAUGUUGUGGAUGUCAAUUAAGAAAAGGGAAAGAAGGUAGAAGGAAAUAAAGGAGACAAAGCAAGUACUGAAUGACACGAGGCAACUCUUGCCAUACUUGAUCAUUCCGGCUUCGUCCGGUGUGCAACUUCCCAGCUGCAUCCCCAAUCAGCUCCUGAGGGCAACAGAAGAAUUUCCAUCAGUGUUGGCAGUACUGGAACGAUAAGGACUGCAGAGAAAGCAGACCCCACCUGCGCUUAAAAGUCAAGGCCUGGAUUCACAAACGCUGACGCAAAUGCUUAACUUUAUGCAAGCAAAUAAUACGCUGGAGCCAGGCAAUUCAGGGCAGGGACAGUUUUGUUAUGUGCUAGUACAGUGCUUGGUCCACAAUGGGGCCCUGAUCAGGGCCCUACAUGCAAUUGCAAUACAAAUAAUCCCCACUGGGCCCUUUCGGUGCCACCAGACUAUACAUAUUCAGUAGUAACUAAUAAUAUGUUAAGCAUGUGGUUAACAUUCAUAAGUAGGAUCAGGCCCCAAAGCUGCUUUGGGCCAGGUCUGGCCAAGUCUUCUCCUAGCAAUAUUUUGGGACAGCCUUCUCUCACUCUGAAUACAAAAUAAGAUGGGGCAAAAAAUAUACGCCACCGAAUGUAUAAAUAAGAGUUUGCAACAUAUUUUUAAUUCUCUCAAUAGGGAUGUAGCCUAAAAAGGAAACACUUAGAUCAAAGUAUCUAAGGGGAGAAGACUUAUUUUACUACUGCCAGACUGAUCAGAGGCAUGACCUGGAAGUUAUCAGGAAAUUAGAGGAACUGGACCUUUAGUCUGCGUUCGUUGGCAGUGUGGAUGUCCUCAUCGCUUUUGUUCACCACAAAGGCUCCCCUGGACCAUUCUUCAGAAAUCUACAUCAGCAAAAUACACUGGAAAAGAGACACUAAAAUGGGAGAUCUCCACCAGGCAACUGUUUGGGGGCAUGGAGCAGGCUAAGCACAACAUGGGUUAGAGUGCGUACACCUGAACGGGAAGCAGAGGUAAGCCAAGGGUCAGGACUGAUGCUGGACCCCCAACUUUAUAAUCAAAGACAUGAUUCAAGACACCAUCCCUGGUCAGGGAAGCACGUAAUGUGCCUACUUUUAAAUAACGGGACUUAAACAUGGUUUUCUUGAAUCAGGACUAAGGAAGAUUACCAUGCCGACUACCUGAAAAGAGAGAGAUCAACAGCCAAAUAGCAGUGGCUAAAGCUUCAAGUCAGGGUGGGUACCUGUGGCAAUGCUUGACAACCUUUUACCACACUCUGUGCUUAAGCAAAUACAUACCUUUUCUAAUCCACUCAGAAUCUUCUCCAAAUCACCCUUGGUAAGAAUCCCAGACUUCUCCAAAGCCUUGGCAUAAGCCAUGCUCCCUCGGAUGUCAACUUCCGACAACCGCUGGUCACAAGCCAUG